UAUUGGUCAAUGGACGAGAGUCUGAACCAGCCAAGUAGCGUGAAGGAUGAAGGCAUUCGGGUCGUAAAGCUCUGUUCUUAAGGAAGAUAAUGACGGUACUUGAGGAGGAAGCCCCGGCUAACUACGUGCCAGCAGCCGCGGUAACACGUAGGGGGCUAGCGUUAUCCGGAAUUACUGGGUGUAAAGGGUGCGUAGGUGGUUUCUUAAGUCAGAGGUGAAAGGCUACGGCUCAACCGUAGUAAGCCUUUGAAACUGGGAAACUUGAGUGCAGGAGAGGAGAGUGGAAUUCCUAGUGUAGCGGUGAAAUGCGUAGAUAUUAGGAGGAAUACCAGUUGCGAAGGCGGCUCUCUGGACUGUAGCUGACACUGAGGCACGAAAGCGUGGGGAGCAAACAGGA
rnacentral:rRNA from 1 species